rnacentral:rRNA from 1 species
ACUCGAGUGGCGAACGGGUGAGUAACACGUGGGUGAUCUGCCCUGCACUUCGGGAUAAGCCUGGGAAACUGGGUCUAAUACCGGAUAGGAGCCAUUUUUAGUGUGAUGGUUGGAAAGUUUUUCGGUGUAGGAUGAGCUCGCGGCCUAUCAGCUUGUUGGUGGGGUAACGGCCUACCAAGGCGGCGACGGGUAGCCGGCCUGAGAGGGUGGACGGCCACAUUGGGACUGAGAUACGGCCCAG